rnacentral:rRNA from 1 species
GACGAACGCUGGCGGCGUGCUUAACACAUGCAAGUCGAACGGAAAGGCCCUGCUUUUGUGGGGUGCUCGAGUGGCGAACGGGUGAGUAACACGUGAGUAACCUGCCCUUGACUUUGGGAUAACUUCAGGAAACUGGGGCUAAUACCGGAUAGGAGCUCCUGCUGCAUGGUGGGGGUUGGAAAGUUUCGGCGGUUGGGGAUGGACUCGCGGCUUAUCAGCUUGUUGGUGGGGUAGUGGCUUACCAAGGCUUUGACGGGUAGCCGGCCUGAGAGGGUGACCGGCCAAAUUGGGACUGAGAUACGGCCCAGACUCCUACGGGAGGCAGCAGUGGGGAAUAUUGCACAAUGGGCGGAAGCCUGAUGCAGUAACGCCGCGUGCGGGAUGACGGCCUUCGGGUUGUAAACCGCUUUCGCCUGUGACGAAGCGUGAGUGACGGUAAUGGGUAAAGAAGCACCGGCUAACUACGUG